CACGCCGUAAACGAUGAGUGCUAAGUGUUGGAGGGUUUCCGCCCUUCAGUGCUGCAGCUAACGCAUUAAGCACUCCGCCUGGGGAGUACGGCCGCAAGGCUGAAACUCAAAGGAAUUGACGGGGGCCCGCACAAGCGGUGGAGCAUGUGGUUUAAUUCGAAGCAACGCGAAGAACCUUACCAGGUCUUGACAUCCUCUGACAACUCUGGAGACAGAGCGUUCCCCUUCGGGGGACAGAGUGACAGGUGG
rnacentral:rRNA from 1 species